ACAAGAGAGCAUCAAUUAAUUUUUGUUGGAUGAGCACAUCCUUCGUCCUCGCUUGUCAUAUAGAGAAAUUACUCUUUCCAUCAUAUCGAUUGAUCUCCACUUUGAUUUAGCUUGUUUUCUUUAUCUUCUUCAACCUUGAUCAACACCAUUGUAACUUAGACAACCACAUGCUUUUGAUACCAUUUAUUAGGAAGGAUUCCUCACGAGUGCACAGAUCCUCCAC
rnacentral:lncRNA from 1 species